AGUGAACGCUGGCGGCAGGCCUAACACAUGCAAGUCGAACGGCCGCACAGUAAGAGCUUGCUCUCACGGGUGGCGAGCGGCGGACGGGUGAUGUAUACAUCGGAUACUACUUUUUCGCGGGGGAUAACGCAGGGAAUGUUACGCUAAUACAGGAUAUGUCGUACGGGUGGAAGCAGGCGUCCUUCGAACCUUGCGGGUUAGAUAGUGCCGAAGUCGGAGUAGCUAGAUGGGGGGGUAAAGGCUCACCAAGACGGAGAUGCGAAGGGGGUCUGAGAGCAUGGUCAGCCAGACUGGAAGUGAGACAGGGUCCCGACACCUACGGGAGGAAACAGUGGGGAAUAUUGCGCGAUGGAGGAAAGCCUGAUCCAGCCAAACCGGGUAAGUGAUGAAGGCCUUCGGGUGGGUGAACCAUGUUGUUGGGAAAGAAGUAAAGUUCUUUAAUACCCGGCGGUUAUGACGGUACCCAAAGAAGAAGCACCGGCUAACUUCGUG
rnacentral:rRNA from 1 species